GGAUAGAGGCCUACCAUGGUGGUAACGGGUAACGGGGUGUUAGGGCACGACACCGGAGAGGGAGCCUGAGAAACGGCUACCACAUCCAAGGAUGGCAGCAGGCGCGCAAAUUACCCAAUCCCGACACGGGGAGGUAGUGACAAUAAAUAACAAUACGGGGUUCUUUCGGAUCUCGUAAUUGGAAUGAGUACAAUUUAAAUCUCUUAACGAGGAACAAUUGGAGGGCAAGUCUGGUGCCAGCAGCCGCGGUAAUUCCAGCUCCAAUAGCGUAUAUUAAAGUUGUUGCAGUUAAAAAGCUCGUAGUUGAAUUUCGGGGUUAGUAGGUUGGUCAUGCCUCUGGUAUGUACUGAUCUCACUGAUUCCUCCUUCCUUAUGAACCGUAAUGCCAUUAAUUUGGUGUUGCGGGGAAUUUGGACUGUUACUUUGAAAAAAUUAGAGUGUUUAAAGCAGGCUAACGCUUGAAUACAUUAGCAUGGAAUAAUGAAAUAGGACGUUCGAUCUUAUUUUGUUGGUUUCUAGGAUUGACGUAAUGAUUAAUAGGGAUAGUUGGGGGCAUUAGUAUUCAAUUGUCAGAGGUGAAAUUCUUGGAUUUAUUGAAGACUAACUACUGCGAAAGCAUUUGCCAAGGAUGUUUUCAUUAAUCAAGAACGAAAGUUAGGGGAUCGAAGACGAUCAGAUACCGUCGUAGUCUUAACCAUAAACUAUGCCGACUAGGGAUCGGAUGAUGUUAAUUUUUUAAUGACUCAUUCGGCGCCUUACGGGAAACC
rnacentral:rRNA from 1 species